CAGCUGAAGUCUCACCACGUUGACGAAUGUCAUCAAGUGGGUCCCACAGAAAGUUACAUGGUGAUAGAUACUCAACUUGAGGCCUGUUGGGCAGAUAACAAUCAUCAGCUGCUUAACCUGCAUCCAAAACAGGUUGUUGGUGAUUUAGUUUUGUGAGGAUGGCAUCUUAUAACCAGAUUAGAAAGCUCAGUCAUCCUGCAAUUUGACUCUAUGAGGGUGGUUAAUGACUUAAUUCUUCUACGCUGUACUGCUGGAUCUUUCAGAUGAGCAUCUCCUGGUUCAAUGCGCAGCAUCAAUGUCUUUGGUAUCGUCAUUGAAAUCGUAUUCCUGUUUCCUCAUAGCACUUGAAGUCCGGUCGCAAGCAAGAAAUUCACCCUUGAUGGUACGAAUGGGCAUUUGGACUUUCCAAGCUGUGGAGAUAGGUGCUAUCACUCUGGAGCUUGCAUUCGAACUGUGCCUGCAAGAAUACCACAUGUAGCUGCCUCGGCUCUCCACAUAAACAUCCAUGUCAGGUAAUCAGGAUAGCCAUGAAGUAUCCAUGCGGAUUUUGUAUUUUUCAGCCUCAAAUAGAAGGUGAUGACCACUGGCACGUUGAGGACCACUGGAUGCUACAUUCGGUGCCCUUUAUUUCACAUAAACUUAAGAAUAAGUGCUCCGUACUGUGCUAAGGUUUUUCUUUCACCAUUUCUGGUCAGCAUGCAGAUUCUGCAGAAAACAAAUUACAUCUCCAAACUUCCUACCCAAUCCUUUCGUCCAAAUGGGGCCUCCUAUAAAAACAUGAUUGCAUAGAGUACAAAGAGCUUGAAGGAAAAAGACUUAGAGCGGAGCCAAGCUAAGAAAUGCACACUCAAUCUAUCUAGUAUUUUUAUGAAUAUUCAAGUAGCGAAAAUUAGUGUUUUCCUAAGAUACUUUUCGAACUGCUUUUUGACAUUUAGAUUUGUACUCCCUCCGAUCCAUAAUAAGUGUCUUAGAUUUUGUACUUAGUACAAAGUUGUACUUAGUCUGAGACACUUAUUAUGGAUCGGAGGGAGUACUUUUCUGUGUACUGAUACAAAGUUGCUUGGAGACAUGCUAAUAUGUGGUGAGAUCAUACCAUAUGCACUUUGUGUAAGUAAAGGGAAUAUACUCAACAUGUGACAAUCUUGGAAUAAAGGUACAGUCUUGCAGAUCAGAUGGGCAUCUCCACCAGGACCUUGCUAGCAGAAAGGCAGAAGAUCAACUAUGAAUUGCUGAAAGUUCUCCCAUGACAACCAUAGGGGGGAAAAGGCACCAAGGAAUUUCCCUGCACUGCAAACUACCUACACCUGGCUUCCGUGGAUGAACUCUUGCCAUGAAUACCAUUGCCAUUCCAUUCUCUGCUGCUUCUGGUCCCUCCGGACUGUUCGCCGAUCAGCUGGAAACAGCGCAAAAGUUUAUGUAAUCCAGUGCUGUUGUGUUCUUGCCUGGAUGGCGAUCACAUCUCAAGGCGGCGGGGACAUAUUGUUGUUUUUACCAGCUAAUUCUGAAUCUUGAAGGACGUAGUAACCUGUACUGCAUUUCUGUUUUCAGCGAACUUGCAAGUUUACUUUUGGCAUUGGUUUCCUGGUUUCGCUAACAAUCUCAGCUUCUCGGAUCAAUUCAUCCACUUUGAAGAACUAGAGGGAUCUCUGAUAGGACACCGCUGAGGCUCCCCGCCUGAACCCAGAGCUUAGCUGCCAACUUGACACUGGACUUAAAAGGCCUGCAAUCUCUGGUUGCGCAUUGUCAAAGACAAUUGCAUUGAGCUGUUUCUAGAUCCACCAAGCCGUUAGGAAGAUCCGGAAGGCGGUGCUCUUGCUGGCUUACUGAUGGGUCGAAAGGGAAGUCAACCUCCACCAUUCCACAAAGUCCCCAUCAUUUGAGGGAGGUUACGAGGUUCCACAUGCCGGAGAAAGUACAUGAUGGGGGAGAGAUUACGCAGCAAUAGCACAGAGACACGGCAAAAGCUGGGCGGUAUCUUGUACUCCUCUGUUUCUAAAUAUCUGUACAUGCAGCCAUUUUUAGACAAAAUAAGCUAAAGUGACAAAUCCGUGUUCGGCCUUCUCCUCACAUUCUCAAUGCAUUCAUUUAAUCUUUUUCCAAUCUCUCUUCUUCUCUAUCUUACCUCACCCAAUAGAAUACCAACAUUAAAAUUGUUUGCCUAGGGAAGAUAAACAUACAUUGAUAUUUUGAGAAAACUUGUCUAUGCUAGUACAUGUAUGGAUAAAAAAGAAACGAUGCACCAUACUAUACAUGGGUUAGGAGUUGCGUUUUUCGCGCCGUCUCCUCCAGGUGACGCAGGAGGCGAACCCUAGAUCCUUGCUGCCAGCUCCUUCUCUCUCCCUUACCCCCUCAGGUGGUCGUCAGGCUUUGGUCGCGGUUUACAAUGAAGGAGGCGGCGGGGUUUCCUACUGGUAUGCAGGAUGCGUGUUUUCAGUGGCCUUUUGGGGUGGAGGCUGCAGAUUUGGGUGAAAAUCCUGCCUGUUGUCGGUGCAGAUGGUGGCAGCGGCAUCUUGUUGUUGUUCCCUUCCUAUAGGCGUCAUUGUGUUUUCUCCAGGUGAAAACCUAGAUCCGCUUGGGUCGGACGAUGGCGAUGUUCCUCGUUGAAGUCAUUUUUUUAGGAGCUAGGUCUUGCUACUAGCGUUGAGUUCCUUGUAGUGCCACAUUCUUUGUCGGCUACGU